rnacentral:tRNA from 1 species
GGGGCUGUAGCUCAGCUGGUAGAGCGCUACAAUGGCAUUGUAGAUGUCGUCGGUUCGAGCCCGAUCAGCUCCACCA